ensembl:misc_RNA Y_RNA Y RNA
GGCUGGUCUGAGUGCAGUGUUUACAACUAUUGAUUACAGAUAUCUUUGUUCCUUCUCCACCCCCACUGCUUCACUUGACUAGUCUUAA